rnacentral:rRNA from 1 species
GACGAACGCUGGCGGCGUGCUUAACACAUGCAAGUCGUACGGUAAGGCCCUUUCGGGGGUACACGAGUGGCGAACGGGUGAGUAACACGUGAGUAACCUGCCCACAACUUUGGGAUAACGCUAGGAAACUGGUGCUAAUACUGGAUAUGUGCUCCUGCUGCAUGGUGGGGGUUGGAAAGCUCCGGCGGUUGUCGAUGGACUCGCGGCCUGUCAGCUUGUUGGUGGGGUAGUGGCCUACCAAGGCGGCGACGGGUAGCCGGCCUGAGAGGGUGACCGGCCACAUUGGGACUGAGAUACGGCCCAGACUCCUACGGGAGGCAGCAGUGGGGAAUAUUGCACAAUGGGCGCAAGCCUGAUGCAGCAACGCCGCGUGCGGGAUGACGGCCAUCGGGUUGUAAACCGCUUUCAGCAGGGACGAAGCUUUUUGUGACGGUACCUGCAGAAGAAGCACCGGCUAACUACGU